CCUACGGGGGGCAGCAGUGGUGAAUAUUGGACAAUGGGCGAAAGCCUGAUCCAGCCAUGCCGCGUGUGUGAAGAAGGCCUUCGGGUUGUAAAGCACUUUCAGUGGGGAAGAAAGCCUUGGGGCUAAUACCCUCGAGGAAGGACAUCACCCACAGAAGAAGCACCGGCUAACUCCGUGCCAGCAGCCGCGGUAAUACGGAGGGUGCGAGCGUUAAUCGGAAUUACUGGGCGUAAAGCGCGCGUAGGCGGUCUGAUAAGCCGGUUGUGAAAGCCCCGGGCUCAACCUGGGAACGGCAUCCGGAACUGUCAGGCUAGAGUGCAGGAGAGGAAGGUAGAAUUCCCGGUGUAGCGGUGAAAUGCGUAGAGAUCGGGAGGAAUACCGGUGGCGAAGGCGGCCUUCUGGACUGACACUGACGCUGAGGUGCGAAAGCGUGGGUAGCAAACAGGAUUAGAUACCCGAGUAGUC
rnacentral:rRNA from 1 species